GAUGAACGCUGGCGGCGUGCCUAAUACAUGCAAGUCGAGCGAACAGAUGAGGAGCUUGCUCCUCUGACGUUAGCGGCGGACGGGUGAGUAACACGUGGAUAACCUACCUAUAAGACUGGGAUAACUUCGGGAAACCGGAGCUAAUACCGGAUAAUAUAUUGAACCGCAUGGUUCAAUAGUGAAAGACGGUUUUGCUGUCACUUAUAGAUGGAUCCGCGCCGCAUUAGCUAGUUGGUAAGGUAACGGCUUACCAAGGCAACGAUGCGUAGCCGACCUGAGAGGGUGAUCGGGCAGACGGGAACUGAGAAACGGUACAGACUCCUACGGGAGGCAGCAGUAGGGAAUCUUCCGCAAUGGGCGAAAGCCUGACGGAGCAACGCCGCGUGAGGGAUGAAGGUCUUCGGAUCGUAAAACUCUGUUAUUAGGGAAGAACAAAUGUGUAAGUAACUAUGCACGUCUUGACGGUACCUAAUCAGAAAGCCACGGCUAACUACGUG
rnacentral:rRNA from 1 species